CCUACGGGGGGCUGCAGUGGGGAAUAUUGCACAAUGGGGGAAACCCUGAUGCAGCAACGCCGCGUGAGUGAUGACGGUCUUCGGAUUGUAAAGCUCUGUCUUUAGGGACGAUAAUGACGGUACCUAAGGAGGAAGCCACGGCUAACUACGUGCCAGCAGCCGCGGUAAUACGUAGGUGGCAAGCGUUGUCCGGAUUUACUGGGCGUAAAGGGAGCGUAGGCGGACUUUUAAGUGGGAUGUGAAAUACUCGGGCUCAACCUGGGUGCUGCAUUCCAAACUGGAAGUCUAGAGUACAGGAGGGGAAAGCGGAAUUCCUAGUGUAGCGGUGAAAUGCGUAGAGAUUAGGAAGAACACCAGUGGCGAAGGCGGCUUUCUGGACUGUAACUGACGCUGAGGCUCGAAAGCGUGGGGAGCAAACAGGCUUAGAUACCCGAGUAGUC
rnacentral:rRNA from 1 species